rnacentral:rRNA from 1 species
UACGGAGGGUGCGAGCGUUAAUCGGAAUUACUGGGCGUAAAGCGUACGCAGGCGGUUUGUUAAGCGAGAUGUGAAAGCCCCCGGGCUCAACCUGGGAACUGCAUUUCGAACUGGCAAACUAGAGUGUGAUAGAGGGUGGUAGAAUUUCAGGUGUAGCGGUGAAAUGCGUAGAGAUCUGAAGGAAUACCGAUGGCGAAGGCAGCCACCUGGGUCAACACUGACGCUCAUGUACGAAAGCGUGGGGAGCAAACAGGAUUAGAUACCCGCGUAGU